rnacentral:lncRNA from 1 species
GUGCUUCACAUGACAUGCCUUAAAGUCCUGUCUGUGCUAGCAUCUAGACCGGAGACCUAGCUGAAGCAUUCAGGCAUGUCUGCCUUGGAAACACAGGCAUCAAAGCGACAGGAAGAGGAAGCGCCUGGUUCUUACCCUGAUACGGAGUCAGGAUACAGUUAUAGUGUGCAACUGGUCCCGGCAAGAGAAACUGCUGUCUCUUUACAUUUGCUUCUCCUGGAAAAGAGGUUGCACUCAGUGGCUAAAUCUGUCCUCUCAAGGGAGCACACAUUACUACUGCAGCAGCAGAGGUGGAGGCAGCCCAGACCCAGAGUCACCUGCGUGCUCAAGCGAUGGCCAACGUACAGGAGGAUGGCGAUCAUCUGAGAGUCUACAGGCACUUGUGACAAACUAAUUUAUUCCACAUCAACAGGACUGAAGCCAAUUGAACAAAGAACCUCAGUAACAGCCUGACUUGACCAAACCUUGUCAAGAAGCAUUGAAUCUUGGGCACAAUGACAUUCUGCCUUGGAUACUGUAUAGCUGCGUGUUUGUGGAUUUCAAAAGUCAUAUGCAUCAGGGAAGUAAACUCUAAAAACUUCAGUCUUGCAAAAUUCAGGAGUUCUUAUACUGCAGACUACAGAUCAUGUAUCUUCUAAAGCCACUGUUUAACCGUUUUUAAGAUUCUCAUCAACUUUCAAAGCCUUUUGUUAGGAAGCUCUUCAGCUGACAGUAUCGUGGCUUCUGAAGGCAUCUCUCUGAAACACUGUCUGCAACAAGAACGAGAGAUGUCAGCAAAGGAAGCAGAGGGCUGGAUGUGGAACUAACUCCCUUUUGAAAGCACCAGAAUAGUUACAGAUCCUCCUGCUAUGAGACCACUUUUUGUCCAACAGACACAAGAGAAGUACAAUACUAUAAAUAUGAUAGACAAAUUCAGUGCUAACAGUAAGAUAUAAAUGUAGGGAAAAAAAAAGAUGUACCUUUGUGCAUAACUGCUGAAGUAUAUUAGAUACCAUGGAGGCCAGUUGGAUAUAGCUGCCUUAAGAGAGACCAUGGAUUAAGUUUUACCUGACAGUUUUAGAGCAGUGAAGAGAAAGAAGCUUUAAAACAGGACACGCACACCUCAGAAAAGAUUGUCAGAGCCAACAGUGAAAAAUGAGUGUAUGCAGAAAGCUUGGUUAAACUGAGCUUGCUACGAACUUUUUCAGACAACAAUGCCUCGCUUCUCCAGAAGCAUCUGCAGUAUUGCCAUCGUUACUACUGGUUACCAAUUGCCCAGGACUUUGUUAGUAGAAAAAGGAAUUAUUUUUACUCAGAACACUUUAUUCUUAUUGAGCGUCAAUAACUGAAGUGUUGCUGGGAGGGUCUCAUUGUCACCUGACUGUGCCUUUUCACAACCAGUGAGAUUACCAUCAGAAAUAAAGCUGCUCAG